AGGUUUCCGUAGGUGAACCUGCGGAAGGAUCAUUACAGUAUUCUUUUUGCCAGCGCUUAAUUGCGCGGCGAAAAAACCUUACACACAGUGUUUUUUGUUAUUACAAGAACUUUUGCUUUGGUCUGGACUAGAAAUAGUUUGGGCCAGAGGUUUACUGAACUAAACUUCAAUAUUUAUAUUGAAUUGUUAUUUAUUUAAUUGUCAAUUUGUUGAUUAAAUUCAAAAAAUCUUCAAAACUUUCAACAACGGAUCUCUUGGUUCUCGCAUCGAUGAAGAACGCAGCGAAAUGCGAUAAGUAAUAUGAAUUGCAGAUUUUCGUGAAUCAUCGAAUCUUUGAACGCACAUUGCGCUCUCUGGUAUUCCAGAGGGCAUGCCUGUUUGAGCGUCAUUUCUCUCUCAAACCUUCGGGUUUGGUAUUGAGUGAUACUCUUAGUUGAACUAGGCGUUUGCUUGAAAUGUAUUGGCAUGAGUGGUACUGGAUGGUGCUAUAUGACUUUCAAUGUAUUAGGUUUAUCCAACUCGUUGAAUAGUUUAAUGGUAUAUUUCUCGGUAUUCUAGGCUCGGCCUUACAAUAUAACAAACAAGUUUGACCUCAAAUCAGGUAGGAUUACCCGCUGAACUUAAGCAUAUCAAUAAGCGGAGGA
rnacentral:rRNA from 1 species